UUAAUAUUAGUUAUGAAAUAUAUUUCAAGAAAUUUUAUAUCUAGUUUUUUAAUAGUAAGAGUAGAAGUAAAUGAGUUUUAUUAAGAUUAAUAUGGUUUAGCUUAUUAAUAUUAUAUAUUGUAAAGAUUUUUUUACCUAAAUAAAUUUGAUAGUGUUUAUUUUAUAGAUUUAUAAUAGAGGGUAGUGUAAAUAGAGAUUUUUUUAUUUAUUAUUUUUUUAUUAAAAAUUUUAUUAAGACUAAAAAUUUAAAUUUAUAAUGAAAAAAUUAGUAAAAGUUUUUUUAUAAAUAAAAAUAUUUGAUAAAAGGUUAUGAUUAUAAUAAUUAUAAGAAAUGAACUAGGCAAAAAAUAUUAUUUGACUGUUUAGCAAAAACAUUGUUUCAUGGGCAAAAGUAUGAAAUAAUGUCUGUCCGCUGAUUAUUUUGAAGGACUGCAGUAUAUUGACUGUAUAAAAGUAGCAUAAUCAUUAGCUUUUUAAUUUGGGGUUGGUAUGAAGGCGAAACGGAUAAAUUCUUUAUUUUUUAUAAGUGUUUAAAGUUUAUUUCUAAGUGAAAAAUCUUAGUUAAGAGAGAGGGACAAGAAGACCCUAAUAAGUUUUAUUUUUAUUUUAUUUGUGUUAUAGGAAAGUUUAUUAGAUAAUAUUAGAUUAAAAAUUUAGUUGGGGCGACUAGUUAAUAAACAUAAGUAGUUUAUAAUUUUU
rnacentral:rRNA from 1 species